rnacentral:rRNA from 1 species
ACACAUGCAAGUCGAACGGCAGCACGGGAGCAAGUCCUGGUGGCGAGUGGCGAACGGGUGUGUAAUAUAUCGGAACGUGCCCAGUCGUGGGGGAUAACGUAGCGAAAGCUACGCUAAUACCGCAUACGAUCUAUGGAUGAAAGCGGGGGAUCGCAAGACCUCGCGCGAUUGGAGCGGCCGAUAUCAGAUUAGGUAGUUGGUGAGGUAAAGGCUCACCAAGCCGACGAUCUGUAGCUGGUCUGAGAGGACGACCAGCCACACUGGGACUGAGACACGGCCCAGACUCCUACGGGAGGCAGCAGUGGGGAAUUUUGGACAAUGGGCGCAAGCCUGAUCCAGCAAUGCCGCGUGCAGGAUGAAGGCCUUCGGGUUGUAAACUGCUUUUGUACGGAACGAAACGGUGAGCUCUAAUACAGUUUGCUAAUGACGGUACCGUAAGAAUAAGCACCGGCUAACUACGUG